UAUGGAUCCGUGAUGCUACAAUGAAACUGCGUUAUCUAUCUGAGUUCCGAGAAGGGAUUGAAGAUAAUGAUGAUAUGCUGAGAUCUACU